rnacentral:rRNA from 1 species
UCCCAUUGAUCCUGUGGGAGAUCGCUGCUAUUGGAAUCCGAAUUAGGCAUGCAAGUUUGAGAAUUUAUUCUCGGCAUAAGGCUCAGUAACACGUCAACAAUCUGCCUUCAGAUCAAGAAUAAUCUUGGGAAACUGAGGAUAAUACUUGAUAGAGAAAAAAUACUGGAACGUUUUUUUCUUUAAAGCUUUUACGUCUGAAGAUGAGUUGGCGGCUGAUUAUGGUUGUUGGUGAGGUAAAGGCUCACCAAGCCUAAGAUCAGUAGAGGCGUUGAGAGACGUAACCUCGAGAAGGGCACUGAGACACUGGCCCUAGUCCUAAGGGAUGCAGCAGCUACGAAAACUCUACAAUGCACGCAAGUGUGAUAGGGGGAUUCCAAGUGCUUUGCUUAAAGUAAAGCUUUUGUUAAGUCAAAAUAGCUUAACGAAUAAGUGGUGGGCAAGACCGGUGCCAGCCGCCGCGGUAACCCCGGCGCCACAAGUGGUGAUCAUGUUUAUUGGGUCUAAAGCGUCCGUAGCUGAUUUUAUAAAUCUCCUGUGAAAUUGUUGAAUUAGAUUUAACAGUAUGCAAGAGACACUAUAAAACUAGAGAUCGGGAAGGGGCAGAAGUAUUCUAAGGGGAGCGGUAAAAUGCUAUAAUCCUUAGAGGACUACCAAUGGUGAAGACAUCUGUCUAGAACGAGUCUGACAGUGAGGGACGAAGGCUAGGAGAACGAUCGGGAUUAGAUACCCCAGUAGCCCUAGCAGUAAACGCUGUAAGCUAUGUGUUGCAUAUUCUUAGAGAAUGUGCAGUGCCGAAGCGAAGGCAUUAAGCUUACCACCUGGGAAGUACGGUCGCAAGACUGAAACUUAAAGGAAUUGGCGGGGGCGCACCACAAGGGGUGGAGCGUGCGGUUCAAUUGGAUUUUACUCCGCAAAUCUUACUAGGAGCGACGGCAGAAUGAAGGUCAGAUUAAAGGUUUUACCUAACUAGCCGAGAGAUAGUGCAUGGCCGCCGUCAGUUCGUGCUGUAAAGUGUCCUGUUAAGUCAGGUAACGAACAAGACCCAUACUUACAUUCGCUAACUAACUCUUCAGAGUGAUAGUGCACAAUGUAAGGACUGCCUCUGAAAAGAGGAGGAAGGUGUGGGCAACGGUAGGUCAGUAUGCUUCAAAUCCCCUAGGCUACACGCGCGCAACAAUGAUAAGGACAGCAGGCUGCAACUCUGAAAAGAGGAGCCAAUCCCAAAAACCUUAUCUUAGUUCUGAUUGAGGUUUGUAACUCAACCUCAUGACGCUGGAAUCCCUAGUAAUCGGGUGUCAAUAACUCCCGGUGAAUAUGUCCCUGUGCCUUGCACACACCGCCCGUCAAGCCAACCGAGCAGGGUUUAGGUGAGAAAUAGUCUUUUGAUUAUUUCGAAUCUAAGUUCAGUAAGGUGGGUUAAGUCGUCACAAGGUAACCGUA